rnacentral:lncRNA from 1 species
AGGAUAGAACUAUCCUGGGAAAGAGCUGCCAAGCUAUGGACUACAUCUCCUUCCUUUUUGGGCCAAGUACCUGAUUCUCAAAAUAGAAUAUGAGGAUAAGUGAUGCAUGUCCCAGUAGAGGUGAUUAGGAAGUAUGGCUUUUCUCCCCUCUUUUCCCUUCUGCUAGCUAGAAGCAGAGGACUCAGAUCCUAGGACAUGACAGAACCAGAACCACAAGACGAAAAGAUCCUGGGUUCCUGAAUCACCAUAUGGAGGAAAGUUACCUACCAAGCAGGAACAUCCACACUGGGUUUUUAAUCUGAGAAAGGAAAGGACUUUUAUUGUCUUAAGCCAAUUUGGGGAGGGGGUCUAUUUGUUAAAGCAUCGAGUAUCAUCAUAAUAAAUGUAAUACAUGUUGAAGGUGCCAGAGUAACUGAGGACAGGGGAGCAAAUUAGAAGAGUAAUGUCACUGUUGAAGGGAGAGGUCACCAGGAUUUGAGCUAGAAAAUGUGGUGGAAAUGGAGUAGAUGACAUGAAUGCAGAAUGUAUCAUGGAGACAGCAUAACAGAGUGUGUCAGUUGGUUUGCUUUAUGGAGCAGAGAGACGACAAAUGUAAAAAUAGAGUCGGGUUUGUUGAGAGGGAGGACGGGGAGGGUGAUGGUGACAUUAAUCGAAGUGAGGAAGGGAGGAUGAAUGCGGGGAGACCUGAGGAGGUUACGUUUAUUUUGGACAUUCGUAACAGGAUAUUCGUGUGGGGUGGACUGUCCAUGUCGACCAGCAGGUGGUUUUUGUUUUUGGACUGGUGCUGGGGAAAGAGCAUCUCAUCAGUAAUUUUUUUUUUUUUUUGGUAAGAGGUGGAGCCAAGAAUGUAUAUAUAUGUAUAACUCGGUUACUUUGCUGUACAGCAGAAAUUGACAGAACAUUGUAAAUCAACUAUGAUAAGACAUUUUAAAAAAGAGGAGGAUUCACAAGGGCUAUUUGAACGAGGAGGUCGGGGACUGAUUAGUGAGCUAAUGGGACUGGAGACACAACACCCAGGCUGCUGUAACAAAGUAUCAUACACUGCAUGGCUUAAACAAUAGACUUUUCUAUUUUUUCGGUUGUGAAGGUCAGCGUUCAUGACCAAGGUGCUAGUUGAUUUGAUGUAUGGGAAGAGCUCUCUCCUUGGGUUGCAGGCAGCUGUCUGUUCACUGUGUCCUCAUGUGAGGAAAGAGCACAAUGGCUAUUGUCUUUUCUUAUAAGGGCACUAAUCUCGUUCAUGACGGCUCCACUCUCAUAACCUAAUUACCUCCAAAGGCCUCAUCUCCAAAUACCGUCACGUUAGGGGGGAGGGCUUCAAUCUAUGAAUUUUGGGGGGGCAUAAACACUUAGUCCUUCAUGCACAGGUGUUCAAGUCAGGAGAAAGUAGAGGAACGCAGGUUAGAAAAAAUUCUUAUGGAAGUUUAAUCAGAAAAGGCAAAAGUGACUGAAGCUGAAAAAUUUUAGUCCUUCUUGUAAUAUUCAGAACAAGAUUUUUUUUUUUUUGUAUUAUUUUCUUUGUCUUUUCUAGGGCCGUGCCUAUAGAAUGUGGAGGUUCCCAGGCUAGGGGUCGAAUCGGAGCUGUAGCCACUGGCCUAUGCCAGAGCCACAGCGAUGUGGGAUCAUUGCUGUGUCUGCGACUUACACCACAGCUCACGGCAAUGGCAAAUCCUUAACCCACUGCGUGAGGCCAGGGAUCAAACCAACAACCUCAUGGUUCCUAGUCAGAUUCGUUAACCACUGACAGGGGGAACUCCACAAGAAACUUCUAACCUAAUUGAUCACUGAGGAAAAGCCAAGAAUGUGGACGUGCUACCUUGCUAACUUUGAAAGAACCUGUCAUGACAUGAUUUGAAAUCUGGUGUCACGUUAACAGAACAUACAUGAGAAAAAAACAAUUCUGAGGCCUUCGACCAAAGUGUUAGUUUAUCCAGUUUAUAAAGUUUAUUUGGCCGGGUCUCCUUGCUGAAGAUUUUUGUUUUUAUUAAUCUGUUCACUUUUUUUCUCCUUUUUUUUUUUAGGGCCACACAUGCAGCAUAUGGAAGUUCCCUGACUAGGGGUUGAAUUUGAGCUGUAACUGCUGGCCUAUCCCACAGUCAAAGCAACGCUGGAUCUGAGCCACAUCUGCCACCUACACCACAGCUCACAGCAAUGCUGGAUCCCAAGCCAGGGAUCAAACCUGCAUCCUCAUGGGUAUUAGUCAGGUUAGUAACCACUGAGCCACAACAGGCACUCCAGUCUGUUGACUUUUGAUCUAAGUCUGUUUAGACCUUGUUUGAAUGUUGAAUCUAUGUAUUUUAGGAAUUAAAGACCUGGAAGAGCCCCUAGAGAUGAUCUUAGGGUCCUGUUUUUCAAACUGUUCUAGGGAACCCUGAAGGUACGGAGGAGGUGCCUCCCAGUUUACCUUGGAUGUGAGAGUGGUGAGAGCCUGAGUGGGGACAGACACCACCUGUAUCACCUCCACCCCACUCUUCAACCAGCCAGAUCCACACAGAGUCUCUGUUACGUAUUAGGCUUCUGACUAAGAUGCCAUUUGAAGGGAGUUCACGUUGUCACGCAGCAGAAAUGGAUCCGACUAGUAUCCAUGAGGAUCCAUGGACUUGCUCAGUGGCUUGGGGACCCGGCGUUGCUAUGAGCUGCAGUGUCGCAGGCAUGGCUCGGAUCCUGCACUGCUGUGGCUGUAUCGUAGACCAGCAGCCUUAGCCCUGAUUUGACUCCCCUAGCCUGGGAACUUCCAUAUGCUGCAGGUAUGGCCCUAAAAAGCAAAACAAACAAACAAACAAAAACAACAAAAGAUGCCAUUUGAAGAAAGGACUUCCUGGUUCUGUAUCUACACCAAUGUGAAAAACAGUGUUCAAGAUCCUGAUCCAGGCUCUGUAAACUCGUAAAGGGCCAGCUAUGUGGUCUGUAUUGUAUCUGUUACAGCUUUUCAACCAUUGUAGCCGAAAAGCUAUUAUAGACAGUAGAUAAAGAACGGAGCCCUGCUGUGUUCCAAUAAAACUUUAUUUACAAAAACAUGUGCCGGAUUUGCUAGCAGACCCCUGACCUCUCACAACUCUCCUCUCAGUUUACGUAUUAGGAAAUGUGACAGAGCGAGGUUAAAAGACUUACUUAAAGUAACAUAACGAUUGUUAGUUAUUAUGAGACGAAACUUCAACAUCCUCAUUCACUUCGGUCACUCCCUAAUCCACCCCACCCACCUCAGUGUUUUUCUCACAGUUCUCCAGUGUGACAUUCUGUUUACAUUUCCACAUUCUGUAAGACCUAGCUGAUUAUCUUUGCUGCAUACCCUCUCCACAAACAAAAUGUUUUGCAGGUAUUCUCUCAAUUUUUGCAGCAACCCUAUAAGGCAGAUAUUAUUCUCCAUUUUCCAAAGAAGUAAAUAAAUAUUUAGAGACUUGAUCACUUGGUCACACUUUUGAUCGGCCUCUGAAUAAAUGAUCCCUUUUGGCUCAGGCCACUAACCUUAGACUUAUCACUGGCCCCUCCCUUCCUCUUGGACACCAUUGUCCCUCCAUCAGGAGUGUGGUUCUGCCUUAAAAAGAGGUUCAGAAUCCAGCCACCUCUCAUCGCCUCCACAAUUACCAUUUUGGCCUAAGCUUCUGUCACUCUCUCCAGGACUGUCUCCUGGAAGUCCCCUCUGCCUCUAGCUUUGAACUCUUAAGGUCUAUUCCGUUAAGUGGCAGGUGGGGUGAUGCUGUUGAAACGUGUUAGAUCAUGGCAAAAAUCUCUGCGAAACCCUGCUGUAGCUACUUAUGUCACUCAACAGAAGCAGGAAUCCUUCUGCAGCCCUCGUGGCCCUGUGUAUUCUGCCCAGACAUAACUCUCUUCCUCUCCCCACCCUCUCUCCUUGUCCCUAGCCUUGGGCUUCCUUACUGUUCCUUCACAGAUCUGUCUUGGCCCCACAUUAGGGCCUGGUCUCCAGUUGUGCCCCUACCUUCGUUGCUUCCCCUCCUCCACCCCACAUGGUCACCCAUGCCCUUACCUGCUCCUGGUCUCUGCUCCCAUGCCACCUUCUCAAUAAGGUCUACCUUGACAAUCUUAUUUAAUACUGCCUUCUAAACUCCCUUGCCCCAUGUUACCCAGGGCCCUUUCGUUUUCUUGUUCCCAUAGCAUGUACUAGCUUCUAAUAGACUAUGUAAUUGAUCGGUUAUGCUUGUUGUUCAUUCUCUCUCCCUAUCCCAGUCCCCAACCAAUGUCCUUGACUGUGGGGAUCUAUAUUCUGUCGACCUUGGUGUCCUGGUGCUUUGAGCAGUGCUGGGCACUUUGUAGGUACUGAAUAAGGAUUUCUUUAUUAAACGAAUGAAUGAAAUUGUCUUACUUAUUUCAGUCAGGUUCUUAAUUACUCAAUCAUAUUCUAAAGGAAUGAGAGGUUGGGUGAAUGAAUAAACAGAAUGAGGGACUCUUCUCCUAGUUUGGGAGUUCAUUGAGGAAUCGGGCUGUUUCUGAAUCAUGUGAGUGUGCCUGGCGCAAAGCAGGUGCUCGGUGAAUGCUUGCAGAAUUAAUGUAUAUCCUGCGGCACCGAUCCUGACAUUCGGUAGCCCUGUUACCCUGUAAAAUACUUCCCUCCUGUUCUGGCCCAUCAUGACCACAAUUACUUCUCUUAGCCAAAAAAGCCCUUUGUCCCUUGGCGGAGGUUCAGACUCUGCUGCUUUCAGCCAGACUGGGCCACAAAAAAGAGCUUCAGAGGGAAGGACAACAGUCACUUUCUUUCUGCAGGAUUCCUCUCAGGCUGUUUAAGCCUCUCUCCAUGUCUUCCAUUUUAAGGCCUUUUUACUUUCUUUACUCUUCAGGAUUCCAGCUGACAGCCCAAAAAGGUGACUCUGGCUGGAGUGUAAGAGUGGGAACAUCCUGGGGAAUCCUUCUCCCCGGAAAUCUUGAAAUAUCAGGGCCCUUUUUCUUGCAUUUUCCAGAUAUUCCAGAGCCCAGAUAUGGGGGCAAAAAAAUCAAAGAAAAUAGCCCUUUGGUACUUACAAAACAGCAGUUCUGAAGCAGCAAACUUGUCUAUGGCAAGUUAAGUUUGAAGACAAAACCCAGAAAAUUCUUUCUAAGAGUAUAUUGUACCCCAAUCUCCCAGCUUAAGGUUUUUCACAUCAGCACAUUCCGAGUGUCAGAAAAUUGCAGGUACCAGCUCUGCCACUUAAGAACUAUAUCAUCUUAGGCAAGUCCCUGAGCUUUUCUGAGCUUAUUAUAUUAUAGGUAACCUAUUAUCUAUAAAAUGAAAAUAUUAAAUCCAGUAUGUUACCUUUGUGAAAUACUUUCUGAUUUUCUUUAACACUCAAUGUUUAUAUAUGUGAUAAAAUCUUAAAGCUUUACACACAUACACUCACACACACAAAGAAUGCAUGUAAAAACCGGUAAAAUUUGAAUUAAUAUCUUUAGUUGAAACUGACCCACGUCGAUUUCUUGGUUUUGAUGAUGAGUGUAAGAUAUAUCAAAAUGUUAGCGUGGGGGAAGUUUUGGGAAGGGUACCCAGAAUUCAGCAUUAUUUGGCAAUUUCUUGUAAGUCUAAAAGUUCAAAAUAAUUUUUUUUUCAUUUUUCUUUCUUUUUCCUUUUUUGGCUGCCCUGAGGCAUAUGGAAUUUCUGGGCCAAGGAUCAGAUCUAAGCCACAGUUUCGACCCAGUGCCAGAUCCUUAACCCACUGUGCUAUGUGAGGGAUUGAACCUGCAUCCCAGUGCUCCAGAGACACCACCAAUCUCAUUGCGCCGCAGUGGAAAUCCAAAAUAAUUCUUUUGAAAAGUUAAUUUCCGCUGCUUUUUUAGCCUCUCAGAACACCGUCUGAAUGCUUCUAAUAGAACAUGUCACACUUAGAACUGUUGGACCUGAUUCUAUGUCUUAGUUCUUAGUCUAUGACUCUGUGCUUCUUGAGGGCACAGUUGCUUUCUUUCAUUUUUUUUUCCUUCCUUCCUUCCUUCCUUCCUUCCUUCCUUUCUUUCUUUCUUUCUUUCUUUCUUUCUUUCUUUCUUUCUUUCUUUCUUUCUCUUUCUCUUCUUUCUUUCUUUCUUUCUUUCUUUUCUGUCUGUCUGUCUUUCUUUCUCUCUCUCUCUUUUUCUUUCUUUUAAUGGACACACCUGCACGACAAUGCCAGAUUCUUUAACCCAAGGCCCAGGGAUGAAACCAGUGCCUCCACAGUGACCCAUGACACUGUAGAUGGAUUCCUAACCACUGUGCCACAGCAGGAACUCCCACAGUUGCAUUCUUAUCUAUUCUUAGUCACUAGACUAGCAUAGUGCCUGGCACAGGUUGGUGUUCACAAAUGUUUAUUGAUUCUUUUAACUCAGAAUAUCGAAAUAAACAUCCUCUCAGAUACUCUGGUGCCAAACAUCUCUGAAAACAUUUAAAUAAAAUGAUCUUUUGGAGUUCCUGUUGUGGCACAGCAGUAAUGAAUCUGACUAGUAUCCGUGAGGAUGCAGGUUCGAUCUCUGGCCUUGCUCAUUUGGUUAAAGAUCUGUAUUGCUGUGAGCUGAGAUGUAGGUUGCAUAUGUGGCUCAGAUCCCACAUUGCUGUGGCUGUGGCAUAGGCUGGCAGGUGUAGGUCUGAUUCAACUUCUAGCCUGGAAACUUCCAUAUGCUGUGAGUGCGGCCCUAAAAAGCCAAAAAAAAAAAAAAAA